rnacentral:rRNA from 1 species
UACGUAGGGGGCGAGCGUUGUCCGGAAUUAUUGGGCGUAAAGCGCGUGUAGGCGGUCCGGUAAGUCGGCUGUGAAAGUCCAGGGCUCAACCCUGGGAUGCCGGUCGAUACUGCCGGACUAGAGUUCGGAAGAGGCGAGUGGAAUUCCCGGUGUAGCGGUGAAAUGUGUUGAUAUCGGUGGGAACGCCAGUGGCGAAAGCGGCAAACUUGACCCUUCCUGACGCUGAGGCGCGAAAGCUAGGGGAGCAAACGGG